GUCAGUGUGGCAUAGUGGUUUGAGCAUUGGACUACAUCUCAAGAUAGCAGGGUUCGAUUCCCUGCUCAGCCA